rnacentral:rRNA from 1 species
UGGUAAUGAUGGCAGAGAGGUCACACCCGUUCCCAUACCGAACACGGAAGUUAAGCUCUCUAGCGCCGAUGGUAGUUGGGACCUUGUCCCUGUGAGA